ACCAGGAAUUUCAAGUAUACAGAGAAUUAAUACGGUGUUUUGAAGAUUAUUAGAAGGGCUAUGGACAUAGGAGGCGUCAAAAGACGACUACUGCACUACUGAUUUCAAAGCCAGUUUCCCUGGGAUUAAGAAAAAAGAAAAAAAGAAAAGAAACACAGACUUUUGAGGACAUGACCUCUACUUCAGUGGAUUCCAGAUUAAAACCAGCUCAGGUCUGAAAACUGGAGAAGAGACUAUGGGUUUUUACUGAAGCAAAUGAUAUCAGUGUCUUUUCAUUCACUUUGUUGGAUGUCUGUCUAUUUUGUGCCUCUGGACAUGUUUUCAGUUAUCCAUUUCCAUUUGCUGAUCAGGCCUCUUGACCA